rnacentral:rRNA from 1 species
AAAUUGAAGAGUUUGAUCAUGGCUCAGAUUGAACGCUGGCGGCAGGCCUAACACAUGCAAGUCGAACGGUAACAGGAAGAAGCUUGCUUCUUUGCUGACGAGUGGCGGACGGGUGAGUAAUGUCUGGGAAACUGCCUGAUGGAGGGGGAUAACUACUGGAAACGGUAGCUAAUACCGCAUAACGUCGCAAGACCAAAGAGGGGGACCUUCGGGCCUCUUGCCAUCGGAUGUGCCCAGAUGGGAUUAGCUAGUAGGUGGGGUAAAGGCUCACCUAGGCGACGAUCCCUAGCUGGUCUGAGAGGAUGACCAGCCACACUGGAACUGAGACACGGUCCAGACUCCUACGGGAGGCAGCAGUGGGGAAUAUUGCACAAUGGGCGCAAGCCUGAUGCAGCCAUGCCGCGUGUAUGAAGAAGGCCUUCGGGUUGUAAAGUACUUUCAGCGGGGAGGAAGGGAGUAAAGUUAAUACCUUUGCUCAUUGACGUUACCCGCAGAAGAAGCACCGGCUAACUCCGUGCCAGCAGCCGCGGUAAUACGGAGGGUGCAAGCGUUAAUCGGAAUUACUGGGCGUAAAGCGCACGCAGGCGGUUUGUUAAGUCAGAUGUGAAAUCCCCGGGCUCAACCUGGGAACUGCAUCUGAUACUGGCAAACUUGAGUCUCGUAGAGGGGGGUAGAAUUCCAGGUGUAGCGGUGAAAUGCGUAGAGAUCUGGAGGAAUACCGGUGGCGAAGGCGGCCCCCUGGACGAAGACUGACGCUCAGGUGCGAAAGCGUGGGGAGCAAACAGGAUUAGAUACCCUGGUAGUCCACGCCGUAAACGAUGUCGACUUGGAGGUUGUGCCCUUGAGGCGUGGCUUCCGGAGCUAACGCGUUAAGUCGACCGCCUGGGGAGUACGGCCGCAAGGUUAAAACUCAAAUGAAUUGACGGGGGCCCGCACAAGCGGUGGAGCAUGUGGUUUAAUUCGAUGCAACGCGAAGAACCUUACCUGGUCUUGACAUCCACGGAAGUUUUCAGAGAUGAGAAUGUGCCUUCGGGAACCGUGAGACAGGUGCUGCAUGGCUGUCGUCAGCUCGUGUUGUGAAAUGUUGGGUUAAGUCCCGCAACGAGCGCAACCCUUAUCCUUUGUUGCCAGCGGUCCGGCCGGGAACUCAAAGGAGACUGCCAGUGAUAAACUGGAGGAAGGUGGGGAUGACGUCAAGUCAUCAUGGCCCUUACGACCAGGGCUACACACGUGCUACAAUGGCGCAUACAAAGAGAAGCGACCUCGCGAGAGCAAGCGGACCUCAUAAAGUGCGUCGUAGUCCGGAUUGGAGUCUGCAACUCGACUCCAUGAAGUCGGAAUCGCUAGUAAUCGUGGAUCAGAAUGCCACGGUGAAUACGUUCCCGGGCCUUGUACACACCGCCCGUCACACCAUGGGAGUGGGUUGCAAAAGAAGUAGGUAGCUUAACCUUCGGGAGGGCGCUUACCACUUUGUGAUUCAUGACUGGGGUGAAGUCGUAACAAGGUAACCGUAGGGGAACCUGCGGUUGGAUCACCUCCUUACCUUAAAGAAGC